AUUGAACGUUGGCGGCACGCCUAAUACAUGCAAGUCGAAACGAGAAAGCACUUCGGUGUGAGUACAGUGGCGGACGGGUGAGUAACGCGUAGGAAUCUACCUAGUAGUGGGGGACAACUCGAGGAAACUCGAGCUAAUACCGCAUACGCUCUAUGGAGGAAAGUGGGGGAUCUUCGGACCUCACGCUAUUAGAGGAGCCUGCGUUAGAUUAGCUAGUUGGUGAGGUAAAGGCUCACCAAGGCUACGAUCUAUAGCUGGUCUGAGAGGACGAUCAGCCACACUGGAACUGAGACACGGUCCAGACUCCUACGGGAGGCAGCAGUAGGGAAUCUUGGGCAAUGGGCGAAAGCCUGACCCAGCGAUGCCGCGUGUGCGAAGAAGGCCUUAGGGUUGUAAAGCACUUUCAGUUGCGAAGAAAAGCUACGAUUUAAUACGUCGUGGUCUUGACGUUAACAACAGAAGAAGUACCGGCUAACUCCGUGCCAGCAGCCGCGGUAAUACGGAGGGUACGAACGUUAAUCGGAAUUACUGGGCGUAAAGCGCGCGUAGGCGGUUUGAUAAGUGGGAUGUGAAAGCCCCGGGCUCAACCUGGGAACUGCAUUCCAAACUGUCAGACUAGAGUGUGGUAGAGGGAGGUAGAAUUUCCUGUGUAGCGGUGAAAUGCGUAGAUAUAGGAAGGAAUACCGAUGGCGAAGGCAGCCUCCUGGACCAACACUGACGCUGA
rnacentral:rRNA from 1 species